UAGGGAAUCUUCGGCAAUGGACGAAAGUCUGACCGAGCAACGCCGCGUGAGUGAAGAAGGUUUUCGGAUCGUAAAACUCUGUUGUUAGAGAAGAACAAGGACGUCAGUAACUGAACGUCCCCUGACGGUAUCUAACCAGAAAGCCACGGCUAACUACGUGCCAGCAGCCGCGGUAAUACGUAGGUGGCAAGCGUUGUCCGGAUUUAUUGGGCGUAAAGCGAGCGCAGGCGGUUUCUUAAGUCUGAUGUGAAAGCCCCCGGCUCAACCGGGGAAGGUCAUUGGAAACUGGGAGACUUGGGUGCAGAAGGGGAGAGUGGAAUUCCAUGUGGAGCGGUGAAAUACGUAGAUAUAUGGAGGAACACCAGUGGCGAAAGCGGCUCUCUGGACUGUAUAUGACGCUGAAGCUCGAAAACGUGGGGAGCAAACAGG
rnacentral:rRNA from 1 species